GGUGGCCGCUGAGCCCGGGCGAAAGCCUCUGGGGCAGUUGCGCCGCCUUUCGAGCAAGCCGGUUGCGCAGCGGGGGGGGGACGCAGAGGCCUUGCCGGACCUCACCAGGCCUUGUGCUCCCUUGCUCAGGUUGCCGCGUCCUUACCCUGGAGACCGUCAGCCUUUUCCGGAAGUACCUCUCCAUCCUAGACGCCCCUCUCAGCCGCCUGCGGAGCCCAGAUGUUCUCUUCGUGCUGACGGAAGAGGAGGCCGAAGUGGCCCAGAGAGCCAUGCGGUGCCACCACAGCCAGUUCGUUUGGUUCCGCCGCCUGUACGUCUUUUUCUCGCGCUACAUGGUCAUCAACUCGCUUCGCUUCCUCUAACGGGAAAGGACGGAGCGACUGGAGAAGAGAGGCCGGCCGGUUGCUCCACAAGAGGCGAAGCACCUGCCCAAGACCUCACUGAGGAAUGGAACGCCAGACUGGCCUUCCCCGAGGGGUGGGGAGCUGCCGGCACAGCCCGGCCAGCUGGGCAACUUCUUCCGUGUGGCUGGCAGGGUUGUCCCUCCAGAUCUGGCCAGCUCUCGCCACGAUGGCAGAAGCCCAGAAAACAAACAACGGGUUUGUCAGCUCCUCUAACGACAGGCAAGCGUGGCACGUACAGCGUCAGAAAAGAGGAGUUCCCCCAGAACUGCCGUCGUAGCACCGUUUGCAAAUAUUUAAGCUAUUUCAAUUAAAAAUGCUAAUCUGAUACGACGACUGAAAACACAGAAGGGCUACUGUGCUGAAAGCAUUAACUGAAACUGAGCUGCAUAACCAGGCCAUGGAAUAAAGUCACGUUCGAGGCAGCAUUCAUGGAAGAGGCCUAGAAGAGGCUCGUAAGGAUCGCCACAAACUUCCCUGUAGGUCUUUGGUCAGGCCUGCCUUACCGGGAGGAUAAAAUGGGAAUGACUCAGUGUCCAUUGAACUUCUUAGAGAAGACGGGAAAUCAGUCCAGAGACAGCAGGUGAACUAGAGCUGGGGAUGGUAAGCGUCUAACCCAGACUCAGCCACACGCCUCACCAGGUAGGUCACCUGGAGCCAGGUGUGCAGUCUGGCUCACAGGGCUGUUGUAAGGUAUAAAAGAGCAUGUGAGAGGGAGAGACCCAUCCCUAGGACCCUGAACUCCUUUGGAGGGUGGACUAAAACCAGAACUUUUUCCUUUGCCUGAGGCAUCGCGGAAGACGCUUGGAGCCCGAAGCGUCACUCACGCCGUCAUGCUUCCACCUGGCUAGCUGAAGGGGACUUGAGCACCAUCACCCUUCCAGGUAUGCUGGGUUACAAGUCCCAUCGCUCCCCAGCCAGCUGUAGCCCUACACCACGGGAGGGCACAAGGUUGGGGAACGGUGGAUGCUCCCAUCCUCCUUUGGCUCGUGCCCAAUGGCAGCAGAAUCACGGGGCCCAGGAGCGGUUCUCCCACGGCCCACUUCACCAGCCCCUUGGUCUCUUCUCCUGCUGCAGGCGAUCCGACCAGGUCGUACGGGGAUGGGCAAUGGCGUGGCUUGCGCCCUUAAGGGUGGGGCUUUGCUAGCUGAAAAGGGGCCCUCCCCAAAUCCAGGCAGCUUUAACAAAAAGAACCAUAAGACACCAAUUCCGAGUCCCCACUGUAGGGUCCCCAGGAAGCAGGUUAGCAUAAAUCCUGGUCUGAGAGGGGAAAAAGAUUCUUACGGCUUUUGUUGUUGAAAACUGAAAGUUUGGCCUAAGAUGCAUUCUUGGAGUCCAGCGGAAUCCUUUAUCUGCCUUCUGAGCCAUUAGUAAGCACUAUUUGUGGAACAGUGAGGACUAGCCACUUUUACGUGCAUUAUUAAAUUUCUUU
ensembl:lncRNA